AAAUUGAAGAGUUUGAUCAUGGCUCAGAUUGAACGCUGGCGGCAGGCCUAACACAUGCAAGUCGAACGGUAGCACAGAGAGCUUGCUCUCGGGUGACGAGUGGCGGACGGGUGAGUAAUGUCUGGGAAACUGCCUGAUGGAGGGGGAUAACUACUGGAAACGGUAGCUAAUACCGCAUAACGUCGCAAGACCAAAGAGGGGGACCUUCGGGCCUCUUGCCAUCAGAUGUGCCCAGAUGGGAUUAGCUAGUAGGUGGGGUAACGGCUCACCUAGGCGACGAUCCCUAGCUGGUCUGAGAGGAUGACCAGCCACACUGGAACUGAGACACGGUCCAGACUCCUACGGGAGGCAGCAGUGGGGAAUAUUGCACAAUGGGCGCAAGCCUGAUGCAGCCAUGCCGCGUGUAUGAAGAAGGCCUUCGGGUUGUAAAGUACUUUCAGCGGGGAGGAAGGUGUUGUGGUUAAUAACCGCAGCAAUUGACGUUACCCGCAGAAGAAGCACCGGCUAACUCCGUGCCAGCAGCCGCGGUAAUACGGAGGGUGCAAGCGUUAAUCGGAAUUACUGGGCGUAAAGCGCACGCAGGCGGUCUGUCAAGUCGGAUGUGAAAUCCCCGGGCUCAACCUGGGAACUGCAUUCGAAACUGGCAGGCUAGAGUCUUGUAGAGGGGGUAGAAUUCCAGGUGUAGCGGUGAAAUGCGUAGAGAUCUGGAGGAAUACCGGUGGCGAAGGCGGCCCCCUGGACAAAGACUGACGCUCAGGUGCGAAAGCGUGGGGAGCAAACAGGAUUAGAUACCCUGGUAGUCCACGCCGUAAACGAUGUCGACUUGGAGGUUGUGCCCUUGAGGCGUGGCUUCCGGAGCUAACGCGUUAAGUCGACCGCCUGGGGAGUACGGCCGCAAGGUUAAAACUCAAAUGAAUUGACGGGGGCCCGCACAAGCGGUGGAGCAUGUGGUUUAAUUCGAUGCAACGCGAAGAACCUUACCUACUCUUGACAUCCAGAGAACUUUCCAGAGAUGGAUUGGUGCCUUCGGGAACUCUGAGACAGGUGCUGCAUGGCUGUCGUCAGCUCGUGUUGUGAAAUGUUGGGUUAAGUCCCGCAACGAGCGCAACCCUUAUCCUUUGUUGCCAGCGGUCCGGCCGGGAACUCAAAGGAGACUGCCAGUGAUAAACUGGAGGAAGGUGGGGAUGACGUCAAGUCAUCAUGGCCCUUACGAGUAGGGCUACACACGUGCUACAAUGGCGCAUACAAAGAGAAGCGAACUCGCGAGAGCAAGCGGACCUCAUAAAGUGCGUCGUAGUCCGGAUUGGAGUCUGCAACUCGACUCCAUGAAGUCGGAAUCGCUAGUAAUCGUAGAUCAGAAUGCUACGGUGAAUACGUUCCCGGGCCUUGUACACACCGCCCGUCACACCAUGGGAGUGGGUUGCAAAAGAAGUAGGUAGCUUAACCUUCGGGAGGGCGCUUACCACUUUGUGAUUCAUGACUGGGGUGAAGUCGUAACAAGGUAACCGUAGGGGAACCUGCGGUUGGAUCACCUCCUUA
rnacentral:rRNA from 3 species